UUUUACUAGGGUAUAGCCCGAAGAAAUUUGGAUUAAUCCCCUAUAAUAUCAUGAAUUCGCAUGAUUUUAUGAUUAAAGCUUCGGCGGUAAAAGAUGAGCAUGCGUCCUAUUAGUUAGUAGGUGAGGUAACGGCUCACCUAGACUACGAUAGGUAGGGGUCCUGAGAGGGAGAUCCCCCACACUGGUACUGAGACACGGACCAGACUCCUACGGGAGGCAGCAGUGAGGAAUAUUGGACAAUGGACGAAAGUCUGAUCCAGCUAUGCCGCGUGCAGGAUGACGGCCCUAUGGGUUGUAAACUGCUUUUAUACAGGAAGAAAAAAUCCGACGUGUCGGAUCUUGACGGUACUGUAAGAAUAAGGAUC
rnacentral:rRNA from 1 species